rnacentral:rRNA from 1 species
AGUGGCGGACGGGUGAGUAACGCGUAAGAAUCUAGCUUCAGGUUCGGGACAACAGUUGGAAACGACUGCUAAUACCGGAUGUGCCUACGGGUGAAAGGCUUGCUGCCUGAAGAAGAGCUUGCGUCCGAUUAGCUAGUUGGUGAGGUAAAGGCUUACCAAGGCAUCGAUCGGUAGCUGGUCUGAGAGGAUGACCAGCCACACUGGGACUGAGACAAGGCCCAGACUCCUACGGGAGGCAGCAGUGGGGAAUUUUCCGCAAUGGGCGAAAGCCUGACGGAGCAAUACCGCGUGAGGGAAGAAGGCUCUUGGGUUGUAAACCUCUUUUCUCAGGGAAUAAAAAAAUGAAGGUACCUGAGGAAUAAGCAUCGGCUAACUCCGUGCCAGCAGCCGCGGUAAUACGGAGGAUGCAAGCGUUAUCCGGAAUGAUUGGGCGUAAAGCGUCCGCAGGUGGUACAACAAGUCUAGUGUCAAAGACCGGGGCUCAACUCCGGGAUGGCGGUGGAAACUGUUGAACUAGAGGGUCGUAGGGGUAGAGGGAAUUCCCAGUGUAGCGGUGAAAUGCGUAGAGAUUGGGAAGAACAUCGGUGGCGAAGGCGCUCUACUGGACGGCAACUGACACUCAGGGACGAAAGCUAGGGGAGCGAAUGGGAUUAGAUACCCCAGUAGUCCUAGCCGUAAACGAUGGAUACUAGGUGUGGCUUGUAACAAAACGAGCCGUGCCGUAGCUAACGCGUUAAGUAUCCCGCCUGGGGAGUACGCUCGCAAGAGUGAAACUCAAAGGAAUUGACGGGGGCCCGCACAAGCGGUGGAGUAUGUGGUUUAAUUCGAUGCAACGCGAAGAACCUUACCAAGACUUGACAUGUUGCGAAUCUCCUUGAAAGGGGGGAGUGCCUUCGGGAGCGCAAACACAGGUGGUGCAUGGCUGUCGUCAGCUCGUGUCGUGAGAUGUUGGGUUAAGUCCCGCAACGAGCGCAACCCUCAUGUUUAGUUGCCAAUAUUAAGUUAGGCACUCUAGACAGACUGCCGGUGACAAACCGGAGGAAGGUGGGGAUGACGUCAAGUCAGCAUGCCCCUUACGUCUUGGGCUACACACGUACUACAAUGGCAAGGACAAAGGGAAGCGAAGCUGCGAAGUGAAGCAAAUCCCAUCAAACUUUGCCACAGUUCAGAUCGUAGGCUGCAACUCGCCUACGUGAAGGAGGAAUCGCUAGUAAUCGCAGGUCAGCAUACUGCGGUGAAUCCGUUCCCGGGCCUUGUACACACCGCCCGUCACACCAUGGAAGCUGGUCAUGCCCGAAGUCGUUACCCUAACCAUUCGUGGAGGGGGAUGCCUAAGGCGGGGCUGGUGACUGGGGUGAAGUCGUAACAAGGUAGCCGUACCGGAAGGUGUGGCUGGAUCACCUCCUUAAAAGAGACCUAGUACAAAGCGAAGGGAAACCAAAGCCAAGUACAAAUUAAAAGGUCAACUAACAGGCAAAAGUAAGAAAUCUCUCAAACUAGACUAGGUUCGGGAAUGGGCUAUUAGCUCAGUUGGUUAGAGCGCACCCCUGAUAAGGGUGAGGUCUCUGGUUCAAAUCCAGAAUGGCCCAUCUAACCCCAACCAAAGUGGGGGUAUAGCUCAGUUGGUAGAGCGCCUGCUUUGCAAGCAGGAUGUCAGCGGUUCGAGUCCGCUUAUCUCCACUAGAGAGAAACACAGCACCAGCCACAAAAAGCUGAAUGCUGGAGUCAUCUCCAGUAUCGCACCUUGAAAACUGCAUAAACAAAACAACAACCAAGAUGUAGGUGAAAAUAUUAAUAGAGCGAAAGCAAAGUUAAUAAAAGUAGCAGACAAAAGAAUCAAGCCAAAGAAACAAGUCAAGUGACUAAGGGCUAACGGUGGAUACCUAGGCACAUAGAGGCGAUGAAGGACGUGGCGACCGACGAAACACUCCGGGGAGCUGGAAGCAAGCAUUGAGCCGGAGAUAUCCGAAUGGGGCAACCCCAAGGACUCUAUUAGAGUAGCAAACUCAGCGAACUGAAACAUCUUAGUAGCUGAAGGAAGAGAAAGUAAAAACGAUUCCCCCAGUAGCGGCGAGCGAAGCGGGAACAGCCCAAACCAAGAAGUUUACUUCUUGGGGUAGCGGGACAGUCACCAGCGUACAGAGAAACUAGACAAAGCAGUUGAAAGCUGCACCAGAGAAGGUGAAAGUCCUGUAGUCAAAAGUAACAAAGGCGCGACUGAAUCCCAAGUAGCACGGAGCACGUGAAAUUCCGUGUGAAUCAGCGAGGCCCACCUCGUAAGGCUAAAUACUCCUAUGUGACCGAUAGUGAACCAGUACCGCGAGGGAAAGGUGAAAAGAACCCCGAGAGGGGAGUGAAUAGAACAUGAAACCGUUAGCCUACAAGCAAAGGAAGGACGA